GCCUCAGUCAGCACAGAAGCUCUUUAAUUCCAGUGCAGGGGCUCAGCACCAGCAGAACCAGCAGCACCUGGGCCAACGAGGCUCUCAGCCAUCCAUCCCCACUUGUGCUCCCCUCCCAGAUGGGGUCAAUUUGGCACUGAUGGCUGGGAGCGCACAGCAUCCAGCCUGCUGGGCAGGCACUGCAGCUUGGUUGGUUUGGAGAUGAUUUAAGCGCAUGGGAAGAACCAGGGCUGCCUGUUGGUGCCUCCUGGAGCUGCUCAUCCUCUCCAAGCACUGAUGUUAGGGCUCUGCCUCGCUGUACUUAAAGCUUAUGGCUCACUACGCUUAGGAUUUGUUUCUCCAGCACUGGUUGCUCGGAAAUUUUCUUCCUGUGGGCCACAGAUGUUAAUUCCAGCUGUAUCCAAUCUAAGAGUGCGAGUUGCUGAUUUACGGAUGGGAAAAGGUGUUUCAGCUGGAAGCAGGAAAUUGGACAUUGAUUGGAGGACAGAAGUUCGGAGCAAGAGUUAAAGCAAAGUGACAUUUCCAUACAUUAGGGAAGCGGGUGAAGUCGGCCCAACGCAGUGUGUAAAUCUCCGAGCUCUGGUUGCAGGGCUUUUGCCAAGAGCCUCCUCCCAGCCCCAGCUCAGGGCAUUGUGCUGCCUGGGGCUCCUACCAACUGGCAGCACAGGAACGACUCGUCCUGGUGCAGGAGCAUUGCCCAGGGCCAUAGGAUGCCUGCUGCAGGAGGUGACUUUACAGGAGCAAUGAGGUGUAAGCAGCUGGCAGGACUCAGCAGGGUGAUCUCUGCUGGGAGGCACUGGCCGUGCAUUGCUACGCUGCCAGCAGGAGGGGAACAGCCUGGGGAAGAAGAAGCCAACGGUGCUGAGAGCUUCCCAGCACGGCACUGCUGCCAGCAUUGCUCCCAGCACAGACUGCUCCCAUGCCCCGGGCACAGCCAGCUCUGCAGGUCGCAGUGAGGAUCAGUGAUUGAGUGCCUUGGUGAAACCCGGGCUGUGGAAGUUAUGGGUGAGAUGCUGCAAUCGUUAUCA